rnacentral:rRNA from 1 species
AUUGAACGCUGGCGGCAGGCUUAACACAUGCAAGUCGAACGAGUGGCGGACGGGUGAGUAAUGCUUGGGAAUCUGGCUUAUGGAGGGGGAUAACGACGGGAAACUGUCGCUAAUACCGCGUACCAUAGGAUGAGCCCAAGUGGGAUUAGUUAGUUGGUGGGGUAAUGGCCUACCAAGCCGACGAUCUCUAGCUGGCCUGAGAGGAUGCACAGCCACGCCGUGACUGAGACACGGCCCGGACUCCUACGGGAGGCGGAAGUGGGAAAUAUUGGGCAAGGGGGGGAACCUGACGCAGCCAUGCCGCGUGAAUGAAGAAGGCCUUCGGGUUGUAAAGUUCUUUCGGUGACGAGGCGUUAAUCACAGAAGAAGCACCGGCUAACUCCGUGCCAGCAGCCGCGGUAAUUC